rnacentral:rRNA from 1 species
UUAUGGCUCAGGACGAACGCUGGCGGCGUGCCUAAUACAUGCAAGUCGAACGGUCUUUUCUAUGGAAGCUUGCUUCCACUGAGAAGAUAGUGGCGAACGGGUGAGUAACACGUGGGUAACCUGCCCAUAAGAGGGGGGAUAACAUCCGGAAACGGGUGCUAAUACCGCAUAGUUUUCUUGAUCGCAUGGUUGAGAAAGGAAAGACGGCCUUUGUGCCGUCGCUUAUGGAUGGACCCGCGGCGUAUUAGUUAGUUGGUGAGGUAACGGCUCACCAAGACGAUGAUACGUAGCCGACCUGAGAGGGUGAUCGGCCACAUUGGGACUGAGACACGGCCCAAACUCCUACGGGAGGCAGCAGUAGGGAAUCUUCCGCAAUGGACGAAAGUCUGACGGAGCAACGCCGCGUGAGUGAAGAAAGGUUUUCGGAUCGUAAAACUCUGUUGUCAGAGAAGAACAAGUUGGAGAGUAACUGCUCCAGCCUUGACGGUAUCUGACCAGAAAGCCACGGCUAACUACGUGCCAGCCGCCGC